rnacentral:rRNA from 1 species
CACCAGCAGCCCGAGUGGUCGCUGUUUUAUUGGGCCUAAAGCGUCCGUAGCCGGACAGGUAAGUCUCUAGGUAAAUCUUACGUUCAAGCGUAAGGCUUCUGGAGAUACUGCCUGUCUUGAGGCCGGGAGAGGUUGGAGGUACUCCCGGGGUAGGGGUAAAUCCUGUAAUCCUGGGGGGACCACCGGUGGCGAAGGCGUCCAACUGGAACGGCCCUGACGGUGAGGGACGAAGCCCAGGGGAGCGAGCCGGAUUAGAUACCCGGGUAGUCCUGGGCGUAAAUGAUGCGGACUAGGUGUGGGGGUAUCCACGAGAUACCUCUGUGCCGAAGGGAAGCCAUUAAGUCCGCCGCCUGGGGAGUACGGCCGCAAGGCUGAAACUUAAAGGAAUUGGCGGGGAGCACCACAAGGGGUGAGGCUGCGGUUU